GACGAACGCUGGCGGCGUGCCUAAUACAUGCAAGUCGAACGCAGUGGGGACGGGUGAGUAACACGUGGGUAACCUCCCAUCAGAGGGGAUAACACUUGGAAACAGGUGCUAAACCGAUACUGAUGGAUGGACCCGCGGUGCAUUAGCUAGUUGGUGAGGUAACGGCCCACCAAGGCGAUGAUCAGUAGCCGGGCUGAGAGGAUGACCGGCCACAUUGGGACUGAGACACGGCCCAGACUCCUACGGGAGGCAGCAGUGGGGAAUCUUCCGCAAUGGACGAAAGUCUGACCGAGCCAUGCCGCGUGAAUGAAGAAGGCCUUCGGGUUGUAAAGUUCUUUCGGUAGCGAGGCGUUAACUACAGAAGAAGCACCGGCUAACUCCGUGCCAGCAGCCGCGGUAAUUC
rnacentral:rRNA from 1 species